rnacentral:lncRNA from 1 species
UCUCUCCCCUCUGCCCCCCGGCUCCGGAGACGCUGCUGAAGAAGCCGCCGUUGCUGCCGGGGGCUCAGGCAGGGCGAAAGGUCGCCCCCUCCUCUUCUUCCCCGCCCUCCCCCCCCACCGGGAUUUCGGAUAGACGCAAGUAGGGGAGGGGGUUGCGCGGAGAGAGGGGCAUCGCAGGUCUCUUGCGGGGGGGCGGCGGUGCAGCAGCCGUGAGCCCUGCCCGGUCCCGUCCCGGUCCUGCUCCUCCGCUCGCCUUGAGCUUUGGCGAGACCUGAGCAGAGGGGCGGGGGGGGAGUCCGUCGCCUCCGCCUUUCCUGCGCUGAGAGCAGCCCCCCCCGUCCCGGUCCCGGUGCUUCAGCUCCCUCUGUCGGCUGCGAAGGAAAGUGCACGGGGCCGGCCGCUCCUUCGAGCCGGACGCGCGACAGAGGCCGGACCGGCGCUCUCGGAGCCACGCGCGCAGGUGGAAGACCCGGUCGUCGUCGCCGCCUUUGCCGUGGAAGGAGCGGAGCAGCCGCCGUUCACCACCACCACCACCACACACACACGCUACAGAGGAGGGCCCACUGGUGGGUCGUCCCUGGGCGACAGGCACAACGUUUCAGGACCCCACCGCCCCCAAGACCCUAGUCCUCGCCCUCCGGGCUUGGAAAAAACCCACUACCGCGGCAGGCAAGUGGUGGGGGCCCUUGGGCGCCUCCUGCCUCGCCCUUGGUUGAGCUGCUUGGUGCCGCUUCCAGACCUGGCACCGCUGCCAGAGGCACCCUGUGCAGAGACGCCUGCCAACCCCCCCCCAAAAAAAAUUGGUCCUUGCCGGGCAGAAGUGCAGUGUCUCUAAAGUGCCCAGCUGUGGGGUCAGCCUGAGUGGCCUGAUCAGGGUGUUCCCUCUUGGCUGAAGCUUGGUGCUUCUCAUGAGUAGGCUUCUUUGCUGCAGAGGGCUACCUGGAUUCCAGGCUGGGUGGGUGGUCCUGCCUGGCACCCUUCCGCACCAUGCAUGCCUGAAGCAGGUGAGGGACACCCCUCCCUCGCCUUUCCCAUUCCUCCCCCCUUCCCUGGCCAGAGCCC